UCCCUGGAGGACUAGUGGUUAGGCCACAGCGCUCUCCUUGCUGUGGCCUGGGUUCGAUUCCUGGCCAGGAAG
rnacentral:tRNA from 1 species